CGGGGGUAGAGCACUGUUUCGGCUAGGGGGCCAUCCCGGCUUACCAACCCGAUGCAAACUGCGAAUACCGGAGAAUGUUAUCACGGGAGACACACGGCGGGUGCUAACGUCCGUCGUGAAGAGGGAAACAACCCAGACCGCCAGCUAAGGUCCCAAAGUCAUGGUUAAGUGGGAAACGAUGUGGGAAGGCCCAGACAGCCAGGAUGUUGGCUUAGAAGCAGCCAUCAUUUAAAGAAAGCGUAAUAGCUCACUGGUCGAGUCGGCCUGCGCGGAAGAUGUAACGGGGCUAAACCAUGCACCGAAGCUGCGGCAGCGACGCUGAUGCGUUGUUGGGUAGGGGAGCGUUCUGUAAGCCUGCGAAGGUGGCCUGUGAGGGUUGCUGGAGGUAUCAGAAGUGCGAAUGCUGACAUAAGUAACGAUAAAGCGGGUGAAAAGCCCGCUCGCCGGAAGACCAAGGGUUCCUGUCCAACGUUAAUCGGGGCAGGGUGAGUCGACCCCUAAGGCGAGGCCGAAAGGCGUAGUCGAUGGGAAACGGGUUAAUAUUCCCGUACUUGGUGUUACUGCGAAGGGGGGACGGAGAAGGCUAUGUUGGCCGGGCGACGGUU
rnacentral:rRNA from 1 species